GGCCUACCAUGGUGGUAACGGGUAACGGGGUGUUAGGGCACGACACCGGAGAGGGAGCCUGAGAAACGGCUACCACAUCCAAGGAUGGCAGCAGGCGCGCAAAUUGCCCAAUCCCGACACGGGGAGGUAGUGACAAUAAAUAACAAUACGGGGUUCUUCGAAUCUCGUAAUUGGAAUGAGUACAAUUUAAAUCUCUUAACGAGGAACAAUUGGAGGGCAAGUCUGGUGCCAGCAGCCGCGGUAAUUCCAGCUCCAAUAGCGUAUAUUAAAGUUGUUGCAGUUAAAAAGCUCGUAGUUGAAUUUCGGGAUCAGCAGGUUGGUCUUGCCACUGGUAUGUACUAGCUUGCUGAUUCCUCCUUCUUGUAGAACCGUAAUGCCAUUAAUUUGGUGUUGCGGGGAAACAGGACUGUUACUUUGAAAAAAUUAGAGUGUUUAAAGCAGGCUAGCGCCUGAAUACAUUAGCAUGGAAUAAUGAAAUAGGACGUUCGAACCUAUUUUGUUGGUUUCUAGGAUUGACGUAAUGAUUAAUAGGGAUAGUUGGGGGCAUUAGUAUUCAAUUGUCAGAGGUGAAAUUCUUGGAUUUAUUGAAGACUGACUACUGCGAAAGCAUUUGCCAAGGAUGUUUUCAUUAAUCAAGAACGAAAGUUAGGGGAUCGAAGACGAUCAGAUACCGUCGUAGUCUUAACCAUAAACUAUGCCGACUAGGGAUCGGAUGAUGUUAAUUUUUUAUGACUCAUUCGGCGCCUUACG
rnacentral:rRNA from 1 species